GCCGCCGUGAUGGAACUGGUAGACAUGCGUGACUCAAAAUCACGUUCUGCAAGGAGUGUGGGUUCGACUCCCACCGGCGGCA
rnacentral:tRNA from 1 species